rnacentral:rRNA from 1 species
GUACACACCGCCCGUCAAGCCACGAAAGGGAGGGGAGGGCCAAGUCGGUGCGCCAACCGCAAGGGGGCAGCCGCCUAACCCACAACUCCUGAUCGGGACUAAGUCGUAACAAGGUAACCGUAGGUGAACCUGCAGAAGGAUCA